rnacentral:rRNA from 1 species
AGUGAACGCUGGCGGUAGGCCUAACACAUGCAAGUCGAACGGCAGCACAGUAAGAGCUUGCUCUUACGGGUGGCGAGUGGCGGACGGGUGAGGAAUACAUCGGAAUCUACUUUUUCGUGGGGGAUAACGUAGGGAAACUUACGCUAUACCGCAUACGACCUACGGGUGAAAGUAGGGGAUCUUCGGACCUUGCGCGAUUGAAUGAGCCGAUGUCGGAUUAGCUAGUUGGCGGGGUAAAGGCCCACCAAGGCGACGAUCCGUAGCUGGUCUGAGAGGAUGAUCAGCCACACUGGAACUGAGACACGGUCCAGACUCCUACGGGAGGCAGCAGUGGGGAAUAUUGGACAAUGGGCGCAAGCCUGAUCCAGCCAUACCGCGUGGGUGAAGAAGGCCUUCGGGUUGUAAAGCCCUUUUGUUGGGAAAGAAAAGCAGCAGGUUAAUACCCCGCUGUUCUGACGGUACCCAAAGAAUAAGCACCGGCUAACUUCGUG